UACUUGGCGUAAAGAGCUCGUAGGCGGUUUGUCGCGUCUGCUGUGAAAGCCCGGGGCUCAACCCCGGGUCUGCAGUUGGUACGGGCAGACUAGAGUGCAGUAGGGGAGACUGGAAUUCCUGGUGUAGCGGUGAAUGCGCAGAUAUCAGGAGGAACACCGAUGGCGAAGGCAGGUCUCUGGGCUGUUACUGACGCUGAGGAGCGAAAGCAUGGGGAGCGAACAGGAUUAGAUACCCUGGUAGUCCAUGCCGUAAACGUUGGGCACUAGGUGUGGGGGACAUUCCACGUUUUCCGCGCCGUAGCUAACGCAUUAAGUGCCCCGCCUGGGGAGUACGGCCGCAAGGCUAAAACUCAAAGGAAUUGACGGGGGCCCGCACAAGCGGCGGAGCAUGCGGAUUAAUUCGAUGCAACGCGAAGAACCUUACCAAGGCUUGACAUUCACCGGACCGCCCCAGAGAUGGGGUUUCCCUUCGGGGCUGGUGGACAGGUGGUGCAUGGUUGUCGUCAGCUCGUGUCGUGAGAUGUUGGGUUAAGUCCCGCAACGAGCGCAACCCUCGUUCUAUGUUGCCAGCACGUGAUGGUGGGGACUCAUAGGAGACUGCCGGGGUCAACUCGGAGGAAGGUGGGGAUGACGUCAAAUCAUCAUGCCCCUUAUGUCUUGGGCUUCACGCAUGCUACAAUGGCCGGUACAAAGGGUUGCGAUACUGUGAGGUGGAGCUAAUCCCAAAAAGCCGGUCUCAGUUCGGAUUGAGGUCUGCAACUCGACCUCAUGAAGUCGGAGUCUCUA
rnacentral:rRNA from 1 species